rnacentral:tRNA from 1 species
CCCCUGGUGGCUCAGACAGUAAAGAAUCUGCCUGCAAUGCAGAAGAUCUGGGUUCGAUCCCUGGGUAGGGAA